GGCAAAAUAUUUGACGAGUUUUCACUUUGUUGCUGAGUUGAAAUGCCCCCAUAGAGAUUUACAGGCAUUGAAGGCCUAUUAAAUACCAAGUGUGGAAGUCCAGGCAGAGAAUUAGAAGCUACCAUGACCCCAGAAGCAGGUACAGCACCUAAACGUGUGUCCGUUGAACUUGCAGUAGGGUUCUGAGGAAUCUCAGAUAUCCCCACACUUUCCAUGUUAUAAACCGGAGUACUUGGAAGAGAAAUUUU
rnacentral:misc_RNA from 1 species